rnacentral:lncRNA from 1 species
CUCCAGAAGCUUCUUAAAAGCGCUUUCUCCAGAAGCUUCUUAGAAGCGCUUUCUCCAGAAGCUUCUUAGAAGCGCUUUAGAUGUCUCGGCGACAACGGGCACGUGUCGGGCUGGGAUGAGACAACUGUUGACCGGAGAACCGGGUGGCACCGGGGAACAAAUUUCGGCGGCACGAAUAUUGGCGGACACUUGUCGCGCGAUGAUUUUUUUUAUGCAUCCAGUCAAAGUCAAUAGCCCUCAUCCAGCAGGUUUCUCUAAAAGCUUUCUUUUUAGACCUUAUUUAUUUAUUCUCUCUAAAGUAAAUUUAGCAAAGUUAAUAUGUUAAUUAGAUUUUAAAUUUGAGAUUUUGAGUGUUAAUCAUUUAUUAAGUUUUUAGUCAACUCUCUAAUUAAUUUUUUUUAUCAAUAAAAUUUAAGACUACUGCUUUUAUUUAUUUUUUUUUCUCUCUCUAGAAGGUGGGAGUGCUGGAUCAGCUUCUCUUUGUUGCUUAAAAUAGCACAUAAUUUAUGAUAGUUAUUA